GCCUGGGUGGCUCAGUCGGUUGAGCGUCUGACUUCAGCUCAGGUCACGAUCUCGCGGUCCGUGGGUUCAAGCCCUGCGUCAGGCU
rnacentral:tRNA from 1 species